UACGUAGGGUGCGAGCGUUAAUCGGAAUUACUGGGCGUAAAGCGUGCGCAGGCGGGCUUUUAAGCCAGACGUGAAAUCCCCGGGCUUAACCUGGGAAUGGCGUUUGGGACUGGGAGUCUGGAGUGCGGAAGAGGAGAAUGGAAUUCCUGGUGUAGCGGUGAAAUGCGCAGAUAUCAGGAAGAACACCCGUGGCUAAGGCGGUUCUCUAGUACGGUACUGACGCUGAGACGCGAAAGCGUGGGGAGCGAACAGG
rnacentral:rRNA from 1 species